GACGAACGCUGGCGGCGUGCUUAACACAUGCAAGUCGAACGAAGUGGCGAACGGGUGAGUAACGCGUAAUCAACCUGCCCUUCAGAGGGGGACAACAGUUGGAAACGACUGCUAAUACCGCAUACUGAAGGCGGGGAUUGCGUCUGAUUAGCUCGUGGGAGGGGUAACGGCCCACCAAGGCGAUGAUCAGUCGCCGGGCUGCGAGGAUGAACGGCCACAAUGGGACUGGGACACGGCCCAGACUCCUACGGGAGGCAGCAGGGGGGAAUAUUCCGCAAUGGGGGAAAGUCUGACGGAGCAACGCCGCGUGAGUGAUGACGGCCUUCGGGUUGUAAAGCUCUGUUAAGCGGGACGCGGUACCGGAAUAGAAAGCCACGGCUAACUACGUGCCAGCAGCCGCGGUAAUAC
rnacentral:rRNA from 1 species